rnacentral:rRNA from 1 species
CCUACGGGGGGCAGCAGUAGGGAAUCUUCCACAAUGGGCGAAAGCCUGAUGGAGCAACGCCGCGUGGGUGAAGAAGGUCUUCGGAUCGUAAAACCCUGUUGUUAGAGAAGAAAGUGCGUGAGAGUAACUGUUCACGUUUCGACGGUAUCUAACCAGAAAGCCACGGCUAACUACGUGCCAGCAGCCGCGGUAAUACGUAGGUGGCAAGCGUUAUCCGGAUUUAUUGGGCGUAAAGGGAACGCAGGCGGUCUUUUAAGUCUGAUGUGAAAGCCUUCGGCUUAACCGGAGUAGUGCAUGGGAAACUGGGAGACUGGAGUGCAGAAGAGGAGAGUGGAACUCCAUGUGUAGCGGUGAAAUGCGUAGAUAUAUGGAAGAACACCAGUGGCGAAAGCGGCUCUCUGGUCUGUAACUGACGCUGAGGUUCGAAAGCGUGGGUAGCAAACAGGAUUAGAUACCCCAGUAGUC